AGUGGGAUAGCUGAGUCAAAUAGUGGCUCCAUUUCUAAGGAAUCUCCAUACUGCUUUCCAGAUUGGUUAUACUAUCUGCAGUCCCAUCAACAAU
rnacentral:pre_miRNA from 1 species